rnacentral:rRNA from 1 species
UGGCUCAGAUUGAACGCUGGCGGCAUGUCUUUACACAUGCAAGUCGAGCGGCAGCGGCGGGGCAACCUGGCGGCGAGCGGCGGACGGGUGAGUAAUGCAUCGGAACGUAUCCCGUAGUGGGGGACAACCCAGCGAAAGCUGGGCUAAUACCGCAUAUGCUCUACGGAGGAAAGUGGGGACCCGCAAGGGCCUCACGCUAUGGGAGCGGCCGAUGUCCGAUUAGCUAGUUGGUGGGUAAAGGCCUACCAAGGCGACGAUCGGUAGCUGGUCUGAGAGGAUGAUCAGCCACACUGGGACUGAGACACGGCCCAGACUCCUACGGGAGGCAGCAGUGGGGAAUUUUGGACAAUGGGGGCAACCCUGAUCCAGCCAUGCCGCGUGCGGGAAGAAGGCCUUCGGGUUGUAAACCGCUUUUGUUCGGGAAGAAAAGGCACGUCCUAAUACGGCGUGUUCUUGACGGUACCGGAAGAAUAAGCACCGGCUAACUACGUG